GGGUUGUGAGGUUAAGCGACUAAGCGUACACGGUGGAUGCCCUGGCAGUCAGAGGCGAUGAAGGACGUGCUAAUCUGCGAUAAGCGUCGGUAAGGUGAUAUGAACCGUUAUAACCGGCGAUUUCCGAAUGGGGAAACCCAGUGUGUUUCGACACACUAUCAUUAACUGAAUCCAUAGGUUAAUGAGGCGAACCGGGGGAACUGAAACAUCUAAGUACCCCGAGGAAAAGAAAUCAACCGAGAUUCCCCCAGUAGCGGCGAGCGAACGGGGAGCAGCCCAGAGUCUGAAUCAGUGUGUGUGUUAGUGGAAGCGUCUGGAAAGGCGCGCGAUACAGGGUGACAGCCCCGUACACAAAAAUGCACAUAUUGUGAGCUCGAUGAGUAGGGCGGGACACGUGGUAUCCUGUCUGAAUAUGGGGGGACCAUCCUCCAAGGCUAAAUACUCCUGACUGACCGAUAGUGAACCAGUACCGUGAGGGAAAGGCGAAAAGAACCCCGGCGAGGGGAGUGAAAAAGAACCUGAAACCGUGUACGUACAAGCAGUGGGAGCACGCUUAGGCGUGUGACUGCGUACCUUUUGUAUAAUGGGUCAGCGACUUAUAUUCUGUAGCAAGGUUAACCGAAUAGGGGAGCCGAAGGGAAACCGAGUCUUAACUGGGCGUUAAGUUGCAGGGUAUAGACCCGAAACCCGGUGAUCUAGCCAUGGGCAGGUUGAAGGUUGGGUAACACUAACUGGAGGACCGAACCGACUAAUGUUGAAAAAUUAGCGGAUGACUUGUGGCUGGGGGUGAAAGGCCAAUCAAACCGGGAGGGUGACUGCGUACCUUUUGUAUAAUGGGUCAGCGACUUAUAUUCUGUAGCAAGGUUAACCGAAUAGGGGAGCCGAAGGGAAACCGAGUCUUAACUGGGCGUUAAGUUGCAGGGUAUAGACCCGAAACCCGGUGAUCUAGCCAUGGGCAGGUUGAAGGUUGGGUAACACUAACUGGAGGACCGAACCGACUAAUGUUGAAAAAUUAGCGGAUGACUUGUGGCUGGGGGUGAAAGGCCAAUCAAACCGGGAGAUAGCUGGUUCUCCCCGAAAGCUAUUUAGGUAGCGCCUCGUGAAUUCAUCUCCGGGGGUAGAGCACUGUUUCGGCAAGGGGGUCAUCCCGACUUACCAACCCGAUGCAAACUGCGAAUACCGGAGAAUGUUAUCACGGGAGACACACGGCGGGUGCUAACGUCCGUCGUGAAGAGGGAAACAACCCAGACCGCCAGCUAAGGUCCCAAAGUCAUGGUUAAGUGGGAAACGAUGUGGGAAGGCCCAGACAGCCAGGAUGUUGGCUUAGAAGCAGCCAUCAUUUAAAGAAAGCGUAAUAGCUCACUGGUCGAGUCGGCCUGCGCGGAAGAUGUAACGGGGCUAAACCAUGCACCGAAGCUGCGGCAGCGACGCUUAUGCGUUGUUGGGUAGGGGAGCGUUCUGUAAGCCUGUGAAGGUGUGCUGUGAGGYAUGCUGGAGGUAUCAGAAGUGCGAAUGCUGACAUAAGUAACGAUAAAGCGGGUGAAAAGCCCGCUCGCCGGAAGACCAAGGGUUCCUGUCCAACGUUAAUCGGGGCAGGGUGAGUCGACCCCUAAGGCGAGGCCGAAAGGCGUAGUCGAUGGGAAACAGGUUAAUAUUCCUGUACUUGGUGUUACUGCGAAGGGGGGACGGAGAAGGCUAUGUUGGCCGGGCGACGGUUGUCCCGGUUUAAGCGUGUAGGCUGGUUUUCCAGGCAAAUCCGGAAAAUCAAGGCUGAGGCGUGAUGACGAGGCACUACGGUGCUGAAGCAACAAAUGCCCUGCUUCCAGGAAAAGCCUCUAAGCAUCAGGUAACAUCAAAUCGUACCCCAAACCGACACAGGUGGUCAGGUAGAGAAUACCAAGGCGCUUGAGAGAACUCGGGUGAAGGAACUAGGCAAAAUGGUGCCGUAACUUCGGGAGAAGGCACGCUGAUAUGUAGGUGAAGYSMCUUGCKSRUGGAGCUGAAAUCAGUCGAAGAUACCAGCUGGCUGCAACUGUUUAUUAAAAACACAGCACUGUGCAAACACGAAAGUGGACGUAUACGGUGUGACGCCUGCCCGGUGCCGGAAGGUUAAUUGAUGGGGUYAGCGCAAGCGAAGCUCUUGAUCGAAGCCCCGGUAAACGGCGGCCGUAACUAUAACGGUCCUAAGGUAGCGAAAUUCCUUGUCGGGUAAGUUCCGACCUGCACGAAUGGCGUAAUGAUGGCCAGGCUGUCUCCACCCGAGACUCAGUGAAAUUGAACUCGCUGUGAAGAUGCAGUGUACCCGCGGCAAGACGGAAAGACCCCGUGAACCUUUACUAUAGCUUGACACUGAACAUUGAGCCUUGAUGUGUAGGAUAGGUGGGAGGCUUAGAAGUGUGGACGCCAGUCUGCAUGGAGCCGACCUUGAAAUACCACCCUUUAAUGUUUGAUGUUCUAACGUUGACCCGUAAUCCGGGUUGCGGACAGUGUCUGGUGGGUAGUUUGACUGGGGCGGUCUCCUCCUAAAGAGUAACGGAGGAGCACGAAGGUUGGCUAAUCCUGGUCGGACAUCAGGAGGUUAGUGCAAUGGCAUAAGCCAGCUUGACUGCGAGCGUGACGGCGCGAGCAGGUGCGAAAGCAGGUCAUAGUGAUCCGGUGGUUCUGAAUGGAAGGGCCAUCGCUCAACGGAUAAAAGGUACUCCGGGGAUAACAGGCUGAUACCGCCCAAGAGUUCAUAUCGACGGCGGUGACUGGUGUUCGGGUUGUCAUGCCAAUGGCACUGCCCGGUAGCUAAAUGCGGAAGAGAUAAGUGCUGAAAGCAUCUAAGCACGAAACUUGCCCCGAGAUGAGUUCUCCCUGACCCUUUAAGGGUCCUGAAGGAACGUUGAAGACGACGACGUUGAUAGGCCGGGUGUGUAAGCGCAGCGAUGCGUUGAGCUAACCGGUACUAAUGAACCGUGAGGCUUAACCUUACAACGCCGAAG
rnacentral:rRNA from 1 species